AUGAACGGUAAAACUUUCCCAGUCGCGCACCCAAUGGAUAGUCAUUUUUUUUCCGACUCAUUUUGGCUUGUCAUUUCGACGAACAGCCUGUGGGCGCUCCAUGCGCCAAGCUCCUCCUACUCCUCCGCCUCUCGGCCCGGCCGAGCUCCUCCGCCCGCUUCCCGUGCACGCUUGCCGCCCACGAGGAACGGCCCAGCAACUUCGCCGCCUUCUCGUGCCCGCGCGCUUGGCGCCGCGAGGACGGUGGCGUCCUGGUGUUGCACCGCCUGUGCCGCCACGCCCGGGUCGUACCUCAGCGGCGAGCGGGGCCGGAAGAGGGAGACGCGGUCGCGAGCAUCUCGGCCCAGGCUCGCAGGCGAAUCGGACGAGCUGCAGCGACAACGUGAGCCCGUGCUCGAACGGCACCUGGAUGCGCCCCAGCGAGGCGUCGGCGUUGGCGAAGUCCACGUCCGCGAGCGCCGCGCCGACGUGCGCCACCACGAGCUCGGCUCUCGCGUUGUCGCACACGACGUCUGGCACGCCCGUGGAGGCGCUGGGCACGACGCGGCGAGGGGUAGGCCUCUAGCCGGUGCAACGCGCGCCGCCUCGCCGAGAACGCCGUGCCGCAGGGGGCCAACGCCGCCGCGGCCGGAGCUUGGCGUGGCGAGGGCGCGAGGAGACGUGGCGAGGGUGCGGGACGAGCGCGGGCGGCAAGGAGGCGUGGCGAGGGCGCGCGGCAGCCAGGGCGAGGGCUCGGCGGGCAGCAACGACACGGCGACGAGGAGGCGUGGCGGCGAGCGCGGCCGGAGCGAGGAGCUCUUCGGGGGGAGAGAGAGGAGAGAUUCUUUUUUGCAUGCAAGUGGUGGGCCUGGCACAAAAAGGAGGAGAGAGUGUAGGGGAACGUUGCAUAAAAUAAUUUUUUUCCUAUGUUCACCAAGGUCAAUCUAUGAGUUCAUCUAG
rnacentral:rRNA from 1 species